GUCAACUCAACGGUUUAUCACUACCCAUUACAUGUUAAUCUAUAAUACCCAUUAACCAACGAUAAACCCCCCUUACCUGAGUUAAUCCGGCAAAAUCUCUAAGCUCCAAGCUCUUCUCCAACCUUUGCUCUCUGGUUCUUCCUCUUUGCCCCGUUCUCCUCUUCUCUGCCUCUUCUCAGUUUUCACGUAAAACCCUUUUACAAAAAU
rnacentral:lncRNA from 1 species